AUGGGAGCGGAGACGAACCUCUCGUCGCCGCAGCUAGAGCCGACUAAGUUGCGGGAGACGGAGACCUUGCCCAGCGACGAUCAGAAUUGGAUGUCGGCACUGCGAGAGUCUGUUUCGUUUGGGCGGUUCCUAUCCGAGCCACUCGAGUGGCAUACCACGGGACACGUCUCGCCGGCAACGAUGGCGCAUGUCCAAUCACCGCCUACAGCUGAGCUCGAUCUGCCGGUACAUAUCGCGGCGGUCGGACCUCAAUUUGUGUCCAGCUGUGGUGAUGCUUACAUUGGUAGUUCUGGACCAGCCCAGAGUUGUAAUCCAUGCUUUCCCGCGGCUCGUUCGUCAGUAAGUGCAACUCAUAUUGGAGGAGCAGAUCUCUAUAUGUCAUUAAUGGAGCCGAUGGAGAGCUUUGGUCAGAGUGUAGGAUCGACUACUCCAAUUGCACUUGAAGAUGAUGCCAAUAGCAGUUUCACGGAUGCAAAGCAGUUGGCUUCAUGUGGUGGAGAUAGUUACAGUACACCCAGGAAAACAAGUAGCAUGCCGAUCUGUGGUUCAAUAUACGUGCCUGAGUGUGAUGAAAGCUUGGAGCCGGCAAUUGGCAUGGUCUUUGAUAAAUGGGAGGCUGGUGAGAUGUUCUACACACGGUAUGCUCAUGAGGUUGGGUUCUUAGUCCGCAGAUUUACACAACAUGAGGGGGAUGGUGGUGUACCAGUGUGGAAACGUUUUGUUUGUGCAAGACAAGGAUGGAGGGAGGAGAAAUAUAUACUGAAUGAUCAUGUGAAGAAGCCCAGGAGGAAAGUUAAGCUAACUAGGUGUGGCUGUGAGGCUAUGAUUAGCUUGAAGAUAAGAGAUGAUGGCAAGUAUGAGGUCGCCCGAUUCGUCCGUGAACAUACGCAUCAGCUUGUCUCACCAAGUAAGAAACAAUUCCUUAGAUCAAACAGGGAAGUCACUAGUGAAUUGAGGAGCACAUUUUUCACAUGUCGCAAAGCAUUGAUGGGCCCUUGCCAAACAUAUCGCUUCAUGACUGCACAAAAGGGUGGACCAGAGAAUAUUGGUUGCAGUAAGCGUGAUUUACAGAAUUAUUGUCGUGAUAUCAGUGAGAUAAUUAAAGAUGCGGAUGCACAAACAAUUAUUGAUGCUAUGCGAAGUAAACAAAGGAUCAAUCCAACUUUCUUCUUUGAUUAUGAACAAGAUGAUGAGAAGAAGUUAACACACAUAUUCUGGGCUGAUGGUACCUGCAGAAAGAACUAUGCACUAUUUGGCGAGGUAAUGUCUUUUGACUCCACUUAUAGUACCAAUCAGUACAACCUAGUUUUUGCCCCUUUCACUGGUGUGAACCAUCACAAGGCAUGUGUUACAUUUGGUGCUGCAUUUGUAUGCCAUGAGAAGGUUUGGUCGUACAAAUGGUUGUUCAAGACCUUUCUGAAGUCAAUGGGAGGUGUUGCACCUAAACUUAUCAUUACCGAUGAGGAUCAGAGCAUGAAAGCUGCAAUCAAAGAAGUCUUUCCUCAAACCAUACAUAGACUUUGCAUGUGGCACAUUCUCUAUAAACUCCGUCAGAAUGUUGGUCAUGAUUUAUUCAAUGAUGAAGAUUUCCGCAGGCAAUUUAGUGCAUGUGUUUGGGGUUCAGAGACUCCGGGAGAAUUUGAGGAAAAAUGGUCCACACUAAUUUCACAUUAUGAAUUAGAAAGCAACAUAUGGCUGGCUGGCAAGUUCGGAAUUCGUCACUUGUGGAUACAUGCAUACUUCAAAGGCGUAUUUCUUGGUGGGUUAUUGCGGACUACAUCGAGAUCUGAGAGUGAGAAUGCUUUCUUUGGUCACUUUCUCAACCGGCGACUCUCUUUGCUUGAGUUUUGGAUAAGAUUUGAAAGUGCCAUUGAAGAACAACGACAAAAGGAAUUGGAGGAUGACAAUAGCACAAUUCAUACACUACCACUGCUAGAGACUACUUGGAGUAUUGAGAGUCAUGCUAGGCAUGUCUAUACUCAUACUAUCUUCCUACUAUUUCAGGAUGAGCUGAUUGCCGCAAGGGAUAGGCGUGAUGUACUAUCAAUACAACAAGUUGGUGAGGUACAAAUCACUUGUAUUUCAGACUUAAGUGGCAAAGUUAGAGAGGUGCUCUACAACACCACAACCAAGGUUGCACAUUGUUCUUGUAAAUUGUUUGAAUCUAUUGAUAUACCCUGUUCCCACAUCAUCAUUGUCCUCAAGAGAGAGAAAUUCAAGGAGAUCCCAAGUCAUUGUAUUCUUCAUAGGUGGACAAAACUAGCUACAAAGACGGUAGUACUUGAUUCAAAUGGCAAUACACUUGAAGGGACAACUAAAUCUCUUCCACCCAACAUUAACCGAUUGUACUCCGAGACAUGCACCAAAUUCAAUAUGGGCAUGAUGGCUGCCAAGAAUUGUGAGGAGAAGAUGCAAUUUGCAUAA
rnacentral:rRNA from 1 species